GAUGAACGCUGGCGGCGUGCCUAAUACAUGCAAGUCGAGCGAACGGACGAGAAGCUUGCUUUUCUGAUGUUAGCGGCGGACGGGUGAGUAACACGUGGAUAACCUACCUAUAAGACUGGGAUAACUUCGGGAAACCGGAGCUAAUACCGGAUAAUAUUUUGAACCGCAUGGUUCAAAAGUGAAAGACGGUCUUGCUGUCACUUAUAGAUGGAUCCGCGCUGCAUUAGCUAGUUGGUAAGGUAACGGCUUACCAAGGCAACGAUGCAUAGCCGACCUGAGAGGGUGAUCGGCCACACUGGAACUGAGACACGGUCCAGACUCCUACGGGAGGCAGCAGUAGGGAAUCUUCCGCAAUGGGCGAAAGCCUGACGGAGCAACGCCGCGUGAGUGAUGAAGGUCUUCGGAUCGUAAAACUCUGUUAUUAGGGAAGAACAUAUGUGUAAGUAACUGUGCACAUCUUGACGGUACCUAAUCAGAAAGCCACGGCUAACUACGUGCCAGCAGCCGCGGUAAUACGUAGGUGGCAAGCGUUAUCCGGAAUUAUUGGGCGUAAAGCGCGCGUAGCGGUUUUUUAAGUCUGAUGUGAAAGCCCACGGCUCAACCGUGGAGGGUCAUUGGAAACUGGAAAACUUGAGUGCAGAAGAGGAAAGUGGAAUUCCAUGUGUAGCGGUGAAAUGCGCAGAGAUAUGGAGGAACACCAGUGGCGAAGGCGACUUUCUGGUCUGUAACUGACGCUGAUGUGCGAAAGCGUGGGGAUCAAACAGGAUUAGAUACCCUGGUAGUCCACGCCGUAAACGAUGAGUGCUAAGUGUUAGGGGGUUUCCGCCCCUUAGUGCUGCAGCUAACGCAUUAAGCACUCCGCCUGGGGAGUACGACCGCAAGGUUGAAACUCAAAGGAAUUGACGGGGACCCGCACAAGCGGUGGAGCAUGUGGUUUAAUUCGAAGCAACGCGAAGAACCUUACCAAAUCUUGACAUCCUUUGACAACUCUAGAGAUAGAGCCUUCCCCUUCGGGGGACAAAGUGACAGGUGGUGCAUGGUUGUCGUCAGCUCGUGUCGUGAGAUGUUGGGUUAAGUCCCGCAACGAGCGCAACCCUUAAGCUUAGUUGCCAUCAUUAAGUUGGGCACUCUAAGUUGACUGCCGGUGACAAACCGGAGGAAGGUGGGGAUGACGUCAAAUCAUCAUGCCCCUUAUGAUUUGGGCUACACACGUGCUACAAUGGACAAUACAAAGGGCAGCGAAACCGCGAGGUCAAGCAAAUCCCAUAAAGUUGUUCUCAGUUCGGAUUGUAGUCUGCAACUCGACUACAUGAAGCUGGAAUCGCUAGUAAUCGUAGAUCAGCAUGCUACGGUGAAUACGUUCCCGGGUCU
rnacentral:rRNA from 1 species